rnacentral:rRNA from 1 species
GACGAACGCUGGCGGCGUGCUUAACACAUGCAAGUCGAACGGUAAGGCCCUUCGGGGUACACGAGUGGCGAACGGGUGAGUAACACGUGGGUGAUCUGCCCUGCACUUCGGGAUAAGCCUGGGAAACUAGGUCUAAUACCGGAUAGGACCCUGGGAUGCAUGUCCUGGGGUGGAAAGCUUUUGCGGUGUGGGAUGGGCCCGCGGCCUAUCAGCUUGUUGGUGGGGUGAUGGCCUACCAAGGCGACGACGGGUAGCCGGCCGGAGAGGGGAACCGGCCACACUGGGACGGAGCUACGGCCCAGACUCCUACGGGAGGCAGCAGUGGGGAAUAUUGCCCAAUGGGCGCAAGCCUGAUGCAGCGACGCCGCGUGAGGGAUGACGGCCUUCGGGUUGUAAACCUCUUUCAGCACCGACGAAGCGCAAGUGACGGUAGGUGCAGAAGAAGGACCGGCCAACUACGUGCCAGCCGCCGCCGUAA